AUUCUCUUAAUAUAUAAAGUAUAUCUGACUUCCAAUCAGAAAGUCUAGAGUCUAGAGAGAAUA
rnacentral:tRNA from 1 species